UGAGGAAUAUUGCGCAAUGGAGGCAACUCUGACGCAGCGACGCCGCGUGGGCGAAGAAGGUCUUCGGAUCGUAAAGCCCUUUUCUAUGUGACGAGACAAGGACGGUAGCAUAGGAAUAAGUCUCGGCUAACUACGUGCCAGCAGCCGCGGUAAAACGUAGGAGGCGAGCGUUAUCCGGAGUUACUGGGCGUAAAGCGCGUGUAGGCGGCGUGGCAGGUCGGAUGUGAAAGCUCCCAGGCUAAACCGGGAGAGGUCAUUCGAAACCGCCAGGCUAGAGGGUAUCAGAGGAGUGUGGAAUUCCGGGUGUAGUGGUGAAAUGCGCAGAUAUCCGGAGGAACACCAGUGGCGAAGGCGACACUCUGGGGUACCACUGACGCUGAGACGCGAAAGCAUGGGUAGCGAACGGGAUUAGAUACCCCCGUAGUCC
rnacentral:rRNA from 1 species